rnacentral:rRNA from 1 species
GUUUCCUUAUCCACCUGUGCACCCUUUGUAGGCCCUCGAAAGAGGUUCUAUGUUUAUCUAUCUACUACCACAUGUAUGUCCAGAAUGUAUACAAAUUUUACAACUUUCAGCAACGGAUCUCUUGGCUCUCGCAUCGAUGAAGAACGCAGCGAAUUGCGAUAAGUAAUGUGAAUUGCAGAUUUUCAGUGAAUCAUCGAAUCUUUGAACGCACCUUGCGCUCCUUGGUAUUCCGAGGAGCAUGCCUGUUUGAGUGUCAU